UACGUAGGGGGCAAGCGUUGUCCGGAAUCAUUGGGCGUAAAGAGCGUGUAGGCGGCCCGAUUAGUCCGCUGUGAAAGUCCAGGGCUCAACCCUGGAAUGCCGGUGGAUACUGUCGGGCUAGAGUCCGGAAGGGGCGAGUGGAAUUCCUGGUGUAGCGGUGAAAUGCGUAGAUAUCAGGAGGAACACCUGCGGUGUAGACGGCUUACUGGACCAUAACUGACGCUGAGGCACGAAAGCGUGGGUAGCAAACAGG
rnacentral:rRNA from 1 species